AGAGGUCUCAAGCGUUGUUCGGAUUCAUUGGGCGUAAAGGGUGCGUAGGCGGCGCGGUAAGUCGGGUGUGAAAUCUCGGAGCUUAACUCCGAAACUGCAUUCGAUACUGCCGUGCUUGAGGACUGGAGAGGAGACUGGAAUUUACGGUGUAGCGGUGAAAUGCGUAGAUAUCGUAAGGAAGACCAGUGGCGAAGGCGGGUCUCUGGACAGUUCCUGACGCUGAGGCACGAAGGCCAGGGGAGCAAACGGGAUUAGAUACCCCGGUAGUCCUGGCAGUAAACGGCGCACGUUUGGUGUGGGAGGAUUCGACCCCUUCUGCGCCGGAGCUAACGCGUUAAACGUGCCGCCUGGGGAGUACGGUCGCAAGAUUA
rnacentral:rRNA from 1 species